rnacentral:rRNA from 1 species
UGGGGAAUAUUGCACAAUGGGCGAAAGCCUGAUGCAGCGACGCCGCGUGAGGGAUGACGGCCUUCGGGUUGUAAACCUCUUUCAGCAGGGACGAAGCGCAAGUGACGGUACCUGCAGAAGAAGCAACGGCUAACUACGUGCCAGCAGCCGCGGUAAUACGUAGGGUGCAAGCGUUGUCCGGAAUUACUGGGCGUAAAGAGUUCGGAGGCGGUUUGUCGCGUCGUUUGUGAAAACCAGCAGCUCAACUGCUGGCUUGCAGGCGAUACGGGCAGACUUGAGUACUGCAGGGGAGACUGGAAUUCCUGGUGUAGCGGUGAAAUGCGCAGAUAUCAGGAGGAACACCGGUGGCGAAGGCGGGUCUCUGGGCAGUAACUGACGCUGAGGAACGAAAGCGUGGGUAGCGAACAGG